UACGUAGGGUGCGAGCGUUAAUCGGAAUUACUGGGCGUAAAGCGCGCGUAGGUGGUUCAGUAAGUUGGAAGUGAAAUCCCCGGGCUCAACCUGGGAACUGCUUUCAAAACUGCUGAGCUAGAGUACGGUAGAGGGUAGUGGAAUUUCCUGUGUAGCGGUGAAAUGCGUAGAUAUAGGAAGGAACACCAGUGGCGAAGGCGACUACCUGGACUGGUACUGACACUGAGGUGCGAAAGCGUGGGGAGCAAACAGG
rnacentral:rRNA from 1 species